UCUAAAAUGGCAGAUAUAAUGCCCAAGACUUAAGUUUUUGUAAUGAAGAAAAUCUUCUUUUAGAA
rnacentral:tRNA from 1 species